UAUAGUGUCCUAAGUCAAACUUCUCUAAGUUUGAUCAUUUUUUUAGAAAACUAUAUUAAUAUGUACACAUUCAAAUAAAUGCACCAUUAAGACAUUUCAUGGAGAAUUUAAUAAAACUAAUUUGAUCUUGUAGAUGUUGAUGUAUUUUUCUAUAAACUUGGUCAAAAUUGAGAAGUCUGAUUUAGCACAAAGCUA
rnacentral:pre_miRNA from 1 species